CAAUAGCGUAUAUUUAAGUUGUUGCAGUUAAAAAGCUCGUAGUUGGAUUUCGGAUGGGAUUUGCCGGUCCGUCGUUACGAUGUGCACUGGCCAGUCCUAUCUUGUUGUCGGGGACUAGCUCCUUGGAUUCACUUCCUGGGACUAGGAGCUGACGAGGUUACUUUGAGUAAAUUAGAGUGUUCAAAGCAAGCCUACGCUCUGAAUACAUUAGCAUGGAAUAACACGAUAGGACUCUGGCUUAUCUUGUUGGUCUGUGAGACCAGAGUAAUGAUUAAGAGGGACAGUCGGGGACAUUCGUAUUUCAUUGUCAGAGGUGAAAUUCUUGGAUUUAUGAAAGACGAACUUCUGCGAAAGCAUUUGUCAAGGAUGUCUNCAUUAA
rnacentral:rRNA from 1 species